rnacentral:rRNA from 1 species
GUGCCAGCAGCCGCGGUAAGACGAACCGUGCGAACGUUAUUCGGAAUCACUGGGCUUAAAGGGCGCGUAGGCGGGCCCGCCAGUCAGGGGUGAAAUCCCACGGCCCAACCGUGGAAGUGCCUCUGAUACUGCGGGCCUCGAGGGAGGUAGGGGCGUGCGGAACUCAGGGUGGAGCGGUGAAAUGCGUAGAUAUCCUGAGGAACACCGGUGGCGAAAGCGGCGCGCUGGACCUCUUCUGACGCUGAGGCGCGAAAGCCAGGGGAGCAAACGGGAUUAGAUACCCCAGUAGUCC